CUGCCCCUCUCCUUCCGACCCGCCAGCUGCCACCCCUUCGCGGAAUCGCAGCUUCGGCCUCCGGCGACCGGCGGUCCGGCCUCACGCGACACGCUCGACUCCGGCCUCUGCGGCUCAGCCAACCGCGCCGUCGUGCGCGUCAGCCUCCACGGGCCCCGCUCUCGGCUCUCGCCCCUCCACGGUCAGGCCUCAGCCACGCCGCACGCGCCCGGAGCGGCGGCGCCCGCCUCCUCGGCUCCGCGACGCGGCCUCAGCCACGCUACACGUGGCCACGCCGCACACCGGUACGCUCAGCCGCGCGCCCGCCUCUGCCUCCUCGGCUCCUCCCCUACUCGUGUCUUCCUGGUGCUUGGCUGCUCCAGUGCUCGGCCCUUGCUGCAGUGCCGCUCGGUCGCGUCGGCACCUGCUGCAAAUCUGCUCGACCUCGGCUGCUCGGCUUCCUGUUCCUUCUGCGUGGUCUGCCUCGUGCUCCCCUACGACGAGGGUCUCUUCGAACUCGUCCUGACGGCCAUUUCCCCUCUGCUUGUCAGCCGCCGCGGGCUCGCCUCACCCGACGGAACGCGCACCAGGGCUGCCGUCGUGGCCAUAGCUUGCAUAAUUGCAGCCGCACUCCCCAUCUCCCUCUCUUCCAUCUCCCACCACAAAGCACCACCUCUCUUCUCCAUUCCUCUUCCCUUGUGGGCAGCUCAUCCCUCUGCCGCACCAUUCGCCAUUCACUUCUCCACUCUCUCAUGA
rnacentral:misc_RNA from 1 species